GUUGGGUGUGGUGGCACAUGCCUGUAAUCCCAGCAGCUUGGGAGGCUGAGACAGGAGGAUCACUAGUUCAAAGCCAGCCUUAGCAAAAAGUGAGGCACUAAGCAACUCAGUGUAGACUCUGUCUCUA
rnacentral:sRNA from 1 species